GCCCACACGGGAAAAUGCAUUAUCCCGUGCGGUCGGUUUAAGAUACCCGCACGGGAUAAUGCAUUUUCUCGUGUGGGU
rnacentral:pre_miRNA from 11 species